rnacentral:tRNA from 1 species
GGGGGUGUAGCUCAGUGGUAGAGCUCAUGUCUAACACAGGUAAGGCCCUGGAUCAACCUCUGGUACCCCUU